AUGAGCUGCUGCUGAGCGGCAGGAAGCUGACGGCCCAGGAGGCGUGUUCUAAAGGUCUGGUGUCUCAGGUUCUGUGGCCCGGAACCUUCACACAGGAAGUGAUGCUGCGGAUCAAGGAGCUGGUGAUGGUCGACUCAGUGGUUCUGCGGGAGUCCAAAGCCCUGAUGAGGAACACAAGCCGCGGUGCUCUGGAACAGGCCAAUGAACGCGAGUGUGAAGCCCUGAAGAGAGUUUGGGGCUCAUCGCAGGGCACCGACUCCAUCUUGCAGUACCUGCAGAGGAGAACCGAGCUCUGCUAGAACCGGGAUGAGGACUAGAACCAGGACUGCCUCUCUGACUCUGUGUUUCUGAAUCAGCGCCAAUGACUCAGGAGAUUCUGAGUGUGACUGAAACUGAGCGAUUCCUCCUUUGAUUGUGAACUUUUAAGUUAUACUUUCAGCAGAAUGCUGAGUGAAGAACAGUGGAACAUUCACAGGCUCGUGUUCUGACGAGUUCUGCCAGCAUCAGGUUCAUCUCUGCGACCACCACAGAAAAACAUCAUGUUAGCUUAGCUGUAGCUUAGUUGUAGCUUAGCAGAUGCAUUUGUCGUAACUGUGGACAAACAGAAAUGACGGACUGUGGGACUAACUUGUGGCUAGAUAUUAGCUAACAGGUAAACUCACCUGAGGGGUUCCACAGGGUCCCAUCCUGGGUCCUCUUUGGGUGGUAACAUCAGAAAAACACAGGGCUGAUUAUUUACUGUAGUGCCUGUCACACCAAACUGAGGGUUUAUGCCUGAGGAGGACCUGAACAGACGUACACAGGGUUAAAUGCCCGCAUUCAGACUGAAUGUUUACUGUGUUUCUAUGGAAACAUGUUAAAAUGGCAGAUUUUGUUCAAACUUCUGAACAGUCUUCAAAAGAAAUGAAUGGUUCUGAGCUAAGCUAGGCUAGCAGAUUCCCCUUGUAUCCAUCCUUUGUCUAUGCUAGGCUAACAGUAUCCUAGUGUGUCAACUCUUUAUGUUGAGCUAAGCUAGCAGUUUCCCCCCUCAUCCAGCCUUUAUGCUAAGUUAGCCUAACAGUUUUUGCCUUUGUCCAACCUUUAUGCUAAGGUAGGCUAAUAAUUUCCCCUUGCCUCUAGCCUUUAUGCUAAGUUAGGCUAACAGUUUCCCCUUGCCUCCAGUCCUUACGUUAAGUUAGGCUAACAGUUUCCCCUUGCCUCCAGUCCUUGCGUUAAGCUAGGCUAACAGUUUCCCCUUAUGUCCAGCCUUUUUGCUGAGCUUGGAUAACAGUUUCCCCCUGCCUCCAGCCCUUACGUUAAGCUAGGCUAGCAGUUUCCCCUGAUUCCAGCCUUUAUGCUAAGCUAGGCUAAGAGUUGGGGCUCACAGAGAUGAAGCUGAUGUGAAACAGUAACUGUGGUGGAAGACAGCAGGAUGAUUAAAUAUUGGACUGUUCCUUUAACUGGACUUUUCCUUACAUGUAAAUGCCCUGCAGUGCCCCCCUCAGGACAGACUGAUGCGCCUGCAGGGGGCAUUGACAGGGACAUAAUCAUGCAGUGAUGAAUUAUGGGUAAGUAGUGACACCUGUCAGGUGGACAGAUUGUGUCUCAUUAAACUCAGAUUAAGUCACA